AGAGAGAGAGAGAGAGAGAGAGUUGAGCUAGAAUACUAUCUUUAGUUAACGAGCUCUGUUGCUGCCAUUUUGUUUUGGGUUAAUUACACUAUUAGUCCCCAAUCUUUGCACCUUUUUUCAUACCUUUCUUUUUUUGCAAAUCAAGUCUCCAACCUCUUGAUUUAUUACAAUUAAAUCCCAGCCGUAAGAACGGGCGUUAAAAUUGACGGAAAAUGUGAUGUUAGCACCAUGUCAGUGCCACGGAGGCCUUUCCCUAAGAAGGAUCCUUCUUAGGUGAAUCCCUUAUAAAUAAGGGAUUUCACCGAUACCUGAUUUAGUAGUUCAAUACUAUAUAUGCUAUGGUCGGAAUACAAGGUAUAAGAAGGAAUUCAAGUUAUAUGCUAUGAUCGGAGGCCUUUCCCUAUCACGACCGCCUUCCUUUAUUCGGAAUGAAUUCGUCUAAAAAGAAAGAGCUAGCGAACCACGCCGAUUCCAUUCCAAUUCUCUCAGACAGAGCAGGAUAGUUGCCAUCAAAUUGCCCUUUUAGAGCAAGGGCGUCAGCACCAGCUAAUUAUACAAUUUUCAUUUAAAUUGUAUAUUAUAAAUUUAAAUUUAAAUUCAAAUUUUAUUUUGAAUUAAAUUAUAAAUUCAUAGCAAAUUUUUUUCUUUAAAAUUUAAAUUUUGAUAUUGGAUUCAAAUUUAAAUUCAAAUUCACAUUUUGAAUUCAAAUUCUAAUUUAAUUUCGAACUUUGAUUUGGAAUUUCAAAUUCAAAAUGUGAAUUUGAAUUCAAAGUUUAACUUCAAAUUUAGAAUUGAAAUCAAAUCUCAAAUUCAAAUUAAAUUUUGAAUUAAAAUUUAAAAUUUAAAAUCAAAAUUUUGAAUUUGAUUUUAAAUUCAAAUUCAGAUUUUAAAUGUAAAUUUUAGUUUCAAAAUUUUGAUGUUAAAUGCAAAUUCAAAUAUCAAAAUCAAAAAUUUAAGUUUGAAUUCAAAAUUUAGAUUCAAUUUAAAAUUUGAAUUUCAAUUCAAAAUUUUAAUUCAGCUUUAAAUCAAAAUUGUUAAAUUUUAAUUUUAAUAUUAAUUUCGAAUUUAAAUUCAAAAUUUUGAAUUUUUUACUUUUGGAGACUAAAGUGAAAAACAUACAAAAUUUAGGGACCAAAAUUGACAUGCAAAAGAAAGCCACAUAGGUGCUGACAUGGUGAUUCCUAAUUUUAACCCCUUUUUUAAGGGCUAGAACAUAAUUGUAAUAAAAUCAAGAGAUUGGGAACUUGAUUGCAAAAAAAGAAAGGUUUACUCAAGUGAAAAAUGGUACAAAGAUUGGGGACCAAUGAAGUAAUUAACCCUUUUGUUUUUUAUGAUGGAGCUUCUGAAUCGACGAUCAGCACCAUUGAACAUGAUCUAAACCACUUUUCUUGUCUUUCUCCAAUAUUGUUCUCUUAUGCAUCAAGUGGACACAAAAAAAAACGGCUAAAAAUAAAUAUCCUUCAAAAAGUUAUGAGAUGAUUCUUGUAAUUGAGAUCAAAACUAUAGGUCUUGCUUUAAGUAUUUUAAAGAACUUUCUAAUAAAAAUUCAACUGAUUUGGAUUCGUUUAACACUAUUAAACGAGCAAACGCCUCAAAUCGACCAUUAAAAUUACAAAUUCUGAAACUCUUUAAUUAUUAGAUCAAUGACGUCGAAAAGAUUUGAAAUUUAAUUUUUAGAUACUUCCAAGUGGUAUAGAUUAUGUUCAACGGAGUUGAUCAUUGAUUUGGAAGCUCCAUCAUCGAAAAUACAUUGGCACAAUGGAGCCUAUUUACUACCGAUAGUAUUCUAGCCCAACUCUACAUAUACACACACACACAAACAUACAUACAUUUAAUAAUAUGUGAAUAGUGCAUACUACAGACAUUUUAGCUCUUGGAUGUUUAUUACGAAUAGUACGAAGGGGUAAACACUAGGCAGUAGGCACCCAAGGCUAAAAAGUCUCCACUAUGCACUAUUCAUGUACUUUUAGAAGCACUACAACUAAAUACUAUAUAUAUAUAUAAUAAUAUAUAUAAUCUUAGAAAUUGGUGACCUGUAUAUCUGUUAACUCGGAGUCAUGUUGAAAAUAGCCUUUCUGGUUAACUAAACCUUGGCAGUAAACAUCAAGGAGAUGAGUGCAACCAGUUUUCUGCAAAGAUCUCAUUAGACCUUUGUGUAGUUCCCAAUUUACCACUUUUUCUCCUCGAAAAGAGGCAUGAGAGCCAUCAGCAUACAGUUUUCCCGAUGAAGCUCCCAUAUGUUGAAUCGGAGAAGAUCUAACUAGUAAGUCAUAGUACUCCAGAGCUUUACUCCAACUUCCCUCAUGCUCAAAUCUGACAAUCUGAGAUGCUAUCUAUUGAAGGGGAAAAGAAAAACAAAAAGAAUGGGAAGAAAGAUGAGCAAGUCAAGGAAAUGAAUUCUAAAAAGAGAUAUGGAAACAGUGAGUCCAUUUCAGUACAGUAAAUAUUAGUGGCAGAUAACUGAUGUCAAAAUAAACUCCACUAAUGUGAAUUGCCUCAACGACUGUCAAAAUCAAUUGACAUAUGGCUUUUGAAUAAACAUAAGGUAAAAUUCAACAUAAGGUAAAAUUCAACAAAGAAUAUUAAUAGUUUUGCAACAAUGCUUAUCUGUACACUAAUACAAAAAAUAAAAAAGCAAGUAAACAUAUACCUCCAGAAGUGCAACAUUCACACAAAAAAUUUAAAAGUGAAUAUACUGGAGUUCAAAUUUGAAUAAACCCUUAUAUAGAUACAUAAUCUACGAAGGUAACCAUAUAUGCAAUCUUAACUUUAAAAACAUUAAAAUUUGAAUAAACAUUUCAGAGUGCACACUUUUGAGAAUACCUAUCUAAGAUCCUCUAGUUAAAAAUCCUCGUGUUAGAAGAUUUGGGGUUGCAAUAUAGAGGUUAAUACAUGAAUAUUAUUGCGAUGGACAAUAUCACUACACUCUGGAACCUAUAGACUAACUUAAAAGAACAACCACGAGAUUUUGGAGGUUCUGUACCCUACAUUAUUUAUCCUAAUGGUGAGCAUCAAAAGCAUAUUUCAAAUAGGUAAAAUUGUAGACACCAAUAAAUUAAGUUAUGUUAGUCUUAUCAAAUGAUUCUUGUGCCAAACCAACAUAUAUCAAACUAAACACAAUUUCUGAUUUUAGCUUUAUAUAAUUUUGUUAUUAAAUAACCAGAUUUCAUGAGAAGAUAGAUUUUGUUGGAGGUUGAAUAUGAAAGAGAUCAUUGCUGAAUAUGCAAAAGCUAAGAACGCAUAACAAGUAAAUAUUUUUAAAGGAAAUAACCUUAUUUGACUGGAUGAUUCCAUAGAUGCUAUCAGGUUCAUUGAUCUGUUUGAAUGCUGCAACCAAUAGAUCAAUAUGUGGAGGCAACUGGAAACAAAAAGAGCACAAAAGAGCACAAAGAAAAUGUUUAAAGCUGGAAACAUAUCAUCCGUAAAUUCCAAACCCCAAAGAAAUAGGAGAUAUACUAACCAACUCUUCUUGUGAAAAAUCAGGAGGGCCUAAUGCCAGACCAUUAAAAUGUUCCUCACACCAGAGUUCCGCAUACAUUACUGCUGUGAAGUAUGAUCCACAACGCUACAAAGAUGCAAUAAAGAAGUCAAAGACAAUAACAGAAGCCAAAGGAAAGAGAGGUGAACUUUGAUUAGAUAAUACUCAUCCAAACAAAGUACAGCAAGUUACAUGAUUAAACAAAUGUGUAUUGCCAACAUGGAAAACGAAAAGGUAAUUUAGACUGAAGUUUCAAUGGUCAUUUGAGAAACGACUCCUAAAGAAGAGGAAAAAGGAUUUAUCUUGGUUAAAGGUCUAAAAUAACAGAAGGUAUAGAUGUAAAACUUAGUGAUUUGCCGACAACCAGCAUUAGGUUCUGGUAGAACUUACAGUACGCUAUCAACAAGCAGAACCAUAACAGUUAGAAUGAUUUAGAAAGGAGAGAGGCUUGUCUACAUUCUUAUUUGAACUACUUUAAGCAACCAAUAAUUUAUGUAGAAAGAUAUCAGAAGGCAGACUCACAAUUGCUGCUUUAGCAACCACAAGAUACGCAAUCAUCAAAUAAGUUACUUAGAAAAAUAUCAGAAGGGAAACUCACAAUUGCUGCUUUAGCAACCACAAGAUAAUCAACGGAAAGCCAGUACACCUAGGGAAACAAUAACUUGUUAGAAGAAAGAAUAUAAUGAAUAACAGCAUUAUGGUAUCUUGAAAAUUCUACUAAAUUAGGAUGGAAUAACACGAGCCAAAAAUCAUAAACCAAUAUGCUACAUGAAUGACGUCAAAGUAGAAUACUCUCCACAGAACUUAGACAAUAUAAAGAAAAUUAGGCAAAAACUUAAUUACCAAAUUUUGGACAUGCAUAAAUCUGAUCAAUUCAUACCUUACUAUCAACCUACAGUAAAUAAUAUCUCUCUUCCAUAUCGCAAAUAGCUUCUCUAUAAGAUUAAAUUUGAAUCUCUUUACAAAAUGGACAUUCAUACAAAAUAAAAUUUAAAAUGCAAACAUUUGAUCAAUCUUAUCAGCUUGCUCAAAAGAAUUAAGGCAUUAAAUCAAAGAACAAAGCCGCUGUUAAACAUUCAUCUCAAACUUUUGGUCCUUCGGUAUGAUAGUAAAUUGCAAGAAAGAAAUUGCAACAAUUAAAGAAGAUAAUGAGAACGGGAGGCUGCAAGGGUGGUUUUGUUAGUGUAGCCUUACUUCAAAAUUUACUUUUUAACUUUAGAUGGCCUCUUUAUCUCUUUCCCACAAGGGUAAAAAGAACAACCACCAGGUCCAACACCGUCUUUCGUAAAACUAGAAAGGAUUCCAAACCAGGAUCAACACUCCAAAAUGCACUUAAAUUGCAUUAACUCAAAGUCAAAGUAAUAGAUUACGUUAAUUGAUUAGUUAGUAGCAACUUAACCUUGUAUAUUACAGCUAAAUCUCUUCAACCAAAUAAUUUUGCAUUAUCUUUGCUUCAACGAAAAUAAUUUUGCUUUAUCUUGGAAGACAGAACACCGAGAUAACUGCUAUGAACAGGGAAGAAGACAGUAAUUGCUCAUGUUUAUAACCAAGAUAACUACCUUUUGCCACAAGGAAGUCAACUGGAGAGCACUGAAUGAUCGAUCUUUACUUCUUUCGGAUCGAAAUUUCGCCGAGGUUUUGUCAUUCUGUAAAAUUUCAUGAUGGUUGCAUUUAGUACAAUCGUAAUGCAAGACUGCACAACAGUCACAGGUAAUAACAAAAAAAAAGAACAUAUAUUGAAAAAAUAGAACAUUUAAAGCUCUUGAAUUAAGGAGCUUAAGAAAGAAAGAACCCAGUAAGUUCAAUUUUCCAUAGUGGAAUACAAAGACCAAAAUAGACACACAAGUAAGUUUACCUAGCCAGUAAUAUGAAUACAUGCCGAGUACCACAACUACUUUUUCAAUUCAAUAAUGUUGAGACCUUUUUUUAUGACUUUUCAUGCUGUUUGGCUAGUUGGGUAGUGCAAAAUCGUAGAUGUUCAUCACAUCCGAGUAAAAAGUUAGAGGAGUUCUUUUACUAUUAUCUUCAAAUGUGAAAAACGUUUUAUUUAUAAAGAAUAAUAUGUAUUCAUAAAAAUGGGAGUAGUCAUAUUCUUGAGAAGUAAUCAAACCAAAAUAAUCCUUCAAACCAACCAUAGUUAACCCAAAAUGAAGCAACACAUUUCAAACCAGAAUAUACUCCAAGCACUUCAAAGUAUCCAAGCCUUUAGGCUGUGCAAUUCAAAUGAGAGAAAUUUCAAAAAUGAUUCAUCAAUUCCUUAGAAUGACAACCAAGGAACAAAACUACAUCAUAUGAAUUUACUAUAUUAGUAAUGAGGCAUGCUAACCUUCAUGACAAAAAUAACUAUCUAUAUGUAGUGCCUAAUUAUACAUUAUUAAUUUUCCCAUGACAAGACAUCCUUACUUUCAGAGCCGCAGAAAAAGAUCCAGCUCUUUCAGUAACAUAAAAAGAUCUGAUUUCAUUUAAUGCUUCCAAUAAGACCUGAACUGACUUGAUCAGAUUAUUUGAAUCAGAGAAAAUGUUUUCCCGAAUCUGCAAUAAAUUUGAGCCCAUAGUAAAUCAAGGUAGAAUGAUAUAGUGAAAUGACAAUUAACUAUAAGUUAGGGGGGGCUCAGAUACCAAACCUUCGUUGAGAUUAAUUUACAAAGGGCAGCAUUAGAGUCAGUCUUUCCCGCAAGGCUCACCAGCACGCUAGCAAACAGAAGCUCAGCUGUCUCAGCCUUCAACAAGACUAUAUUUUGACAGAGUCUGCAAAUGAGAAAGAGAGUACAUGAUUACCAUCAUAUUUAAGAGUCUCAAAUGAAAAACAUAGUACCAUAUUUCCGCGAUAAUGAGACAAGCUAAUCGAAGUACCUUAAAAUUAUAUCAUCGCAAUGACAAACAAGUGAGUGCACAAGGGAACACACCCAUGUAUCAUAGGUUUUUGCUUCUGUCCCCCAGAGAGAAGAAUCUUCUAAAGAAGCUGCAUAGAUACAAGUCAUCAAACUUAUGAACUUUUCCAGGCAAAAAGGUGGCUAGUGAUGUGCUACAAAAACAUGAAAACAAUGUAAAGCAGGAUCAAACACAUAACAGACUUAGGCCCCGUUUGGAUACCUCUAAAAACGUAGCAUAGUUAAACUAUGCUACGCCGAUAGAAAAAUAAUCCUAUGAAGCGUUUGGAAGAAAAAAAAAAUGAUGUAACGUUUGGAAGAAAAAAAAAAUGAUGUAAUUUUUGGAGUAUAGUUAUACUAUACUCUAAAAAAUAGAGUAAACUUACAAUCCACUUUAACCAAAGGAAAAAAAUUCCACCAUUUUGGGCUCCCGAAGAUGUAUCAAUUUCUAAAUUUUAAAUUUCAACAUAAAAUUUUAAAUUUCAAAUUUUAAAAUUUUAAAAUUCAUUUUUAAUUUUGAUUUCAAAUUUCAAAUUUCAAAUUUCAAAU
rnacentral:lncRNA from 1 species